AAUACAAAAAAACAAACUCA
rnacentral:miRNA from 1 species